rnacentral:rRNA from 1 species
GACGAACGCUGGCGGCGUGCUUAACACAUGCAAGUCGAACGGAAAGGCCCUGCUUUUGUGGGGUGCUCGAGUGGCGAACGGGUGAGUAACACGUGAGUAACCUGCCCUUGACUUUGGGAUAACUUCAGGAAACUGGGGCUAAUACCGGAUAGGAGCUCCUGCUGCAUGGUGGGGGUUGGAAAGUUUCGGCGGUUGGGGAUGGACUCGCGGCUUAUCAGCUUGUUGGUGGGGUAGUGGCUUACCAAGGCUUUGACGGGUAGCCGGCCUGAGAGGGUGACCGGCCACAUUGGGACUGAGAUACGGCCCAGACUCCUACGGGAGGCAGCAGUGGGGAAUAGUGCACAAUGGGCGGAAGCCUGAUGCAGCAACGCCGCGUGCGGGAUGACGGCCUUCGGGUUGUAAACCGCUUUCGCCUAUGACGAAGCGUGAGUGACGGUAAUGGGUAAAGAAGCACCGGCUAACUACGUG